GCUGCUCAGUGUGAGGUAAUACAGUAGCGGGAGUGCUGCUCAGUGUGAGGUAAUACAGUAGCGGGAGUGCUGCUCAGUGUGAGGUAAUACAGUAGCGGGAGUGCUGCUCAGUGUGAGGUAAUACAGUAGCGGGAGUGCUGCUCAGUGUGAGGUAAUACAGUAGAGGGAGUGCUGCUCAGCGUGAGGUAAUACAGUAGGGGGAGUGCUGCUCAGUGUGAGGUAAUACAGUAGGGGGAGUGCUGCUCGGCGUGAGGUAAUACAGUAGAGGGAGUGCUGCUCAGCGUGAGGUAAUACAGUAGGGGGAGUGCUGCUCAGUGUGAGGUAAUACAGUAGGGGGAGUGUUUAUCAAAUAGAAUGUUUUAUAUGCUCUCCACACUCUCGUCCUCGCAAGAACGUAAUGAAGAGAAAGUCGUCAGAGGAUGCACUCUGAGCAUAAGACUGUGAAGCACAGUAGUAUGCAUAUUGAGAAGCACGCUCGGUGUCGAUCUGUUAAUGUGGAAUUGCCCUUGUAUAACUUACUGUAUUUAUUUAAGUACAACAUAUACUGUAUGUAUACUCACCUUUGUUCCCAUGUCAUACCUGGUUACGAUGGGGGUAGACAUCUAUCUGAUGUGUAAAGAGCAAUUUGCACAUUUCUUUACUGUUGCAGUGACCAGUUAGAUGUUUCACAUGGUGGAACAAAGAUUAUACAAAAAUACAAUUUUAAGACCCUGUAAUUACACCAACAGCUAUGAUAUACAUAAUGUAUAAUAGCCAUACUUUUAUAAUAAGAUGUUUUGAUAAACAGUGAUACAAAAGCAAUCCAAGAGAGAGAGGAGAUGAGGCAGAGUGUAUGAUCCACCAACGAUAUCAGAGCGACGAUGCACGCCUACCGUUUGACAUGAUUAUACUGUCCCUCUGGUGCUGUUACUCAUGCUAUUUCCCAGUACUUUUCUAUACUUCAGCUUUAUGCUGACAACAGUUUACCUAUGAAUCAUCAGGUUUCAAUCUGAGGUAGGUGGUGGUUGCUGACUCAGCAAAGCAGCAUCCAUCUUGCUACCUGCAGAUAAUUGUUUGAUUCACUACAUAGCAUCUAGAAGUCAUCGAGCAAAUUCAAAUGAGAUGCCACUACAAUAAAUCAAUAAAGAAUGCAAACAGUACACCCUAAUUAGGCUACAUUUUAGUUUCUGGAACAUUCCCUGGACUGUUUUUAUUUUUUAUUUAUUCAGAUCUCUAUCUCCGCCUGAGGCUGUUUGCUCUUGCUCAUGUCGAUGGUGUAGGAUAGACAUAAAGUGUUUCCCUGACUGGCUAUUUAUCACAAAUUAGGCAUAAUUCCAGAUGUCUGCUGAUGCUAAAUGGACUUGUCAGGCAAUCCCAGCAGUACUGUCUGAGCUCUGCCAGUCGAGGCCAGCUCACAUGGGCCUGUCCCCUGUACUGUUCUGUACGAAUCCCAGCUAGCCACCCUCAAAUCAGGCCUGUCGCUGAACAAAGACUCCAGAACAAGACUCAUAGCUCCAGACAUAUUGUAGUUUGCCAUCCCAAGGGUAGCACUGUCAUCUUAGAUAUGAUUACUGUACCAUCCCCUGCAUUUUUUUAUUUAUUUUACCUUUAUUUAACUAGGCAAGUCAGUUAAGAACAAAUUCUUAUUUUCAAUGACGGCCUAGGAACAGUGGGUUAACUGCCUGUUCAGGGGCAGAACGACAGAUUUGUACCUUGUCAGCUCGGGGGCAUGAACUUGCAACCUUCCGGUUACUAGUCCAACUCUCUAACCACUAGGCUACCCUGCCCUUUAACCCAUUAAUUGUAGCAGGAAGACGAAUGGACAUCUCUUUCUGGUUUUGAUUGGCCUUAUGUGGUAUAGACGCCCGCCUAUACCACAGACGGGCACCAAAGUACAAUGGCACAUUUUUACUGGAAUGUUGGUAUGAUGACUUGUUCCUCUUACAUGCUAGUAUUUUAA